GAGGAUGAGAGGAGUGCAAGUGGAGAGGAAGAGAGGUUGAGAGGAAGAGGAGGAGGGGGAGAUGUGAAGUGAGGGAGAGGAGGAGAGGUGUAGAGGAGUACAAGUGGAAAGUAAGAGAGAGAGAGAGAGAGAGAGUUAGUAGGGGAGAGAUAGUUUGUAGGAGAAAGGGAGAGAGUUAGCAGGAGAGAGAGAGUUAGUAGGAGAGAGAGAGUUAAUAGGAGAGAGAGAGUGAGUAGGAGAGAGAGAGUUGGAGAGAGAGAGAGUGAGAGUUGGUAGGAGAGAGAGUGAGUUAGCAGGAGAGAGAGAGAGUUUGUAGGAGAGAGAGAGUUGGUAGGAGAGAGAGUGUUAGUAGGAGAGAGAUAGAGAGAGUUCGUUGGAGAACGGGAGAGAGUUCGCAGGAGAGAGAGAUUGUUUUUAGGAGAGAGAGAGAGUUGGAAGGAUAGAGAGAGUUAAUAGGAGAUCGAGAGAGUUAAUAGGAGAGAGAGAGAGUUAAUAGGAGAGAGAGAGAGUUAGUACGGGAGAGAGAGUUAGUAGGAGAGAGAGAGUUAGUAGGAGAGAGAGAGUUAGUAGGAGAGAGAGAGUUAGUAGGGGAGAGAGAGAGUUAGUAAGGGAGAGAGAGUUAGUAGGAGUGAGAGAGUUAGUAGGAGUGAGAGAGUUAGUAGGAGAGAGAGAGUUAGUAGGGGAGAGAGAGAGUUAGUAGGGGAGAGAGAGAGUUAGUAAGGGAGAGAGAGUAAGUAGGAGUGAGAGAGUUAGUAGGAGUGAGAGUUAGUAGGUGAGAGAGAGUGAGUAAGAGAGAGAGAGUUAGUAGGAGAUUGAGAGAGUGAGUAGGAGAGAGAGAGUUAGUAGGAGAGAG
rnacentral:lncRNA from 1 species